rnacentral:rRNA from 1 species
UACGUAGGGUGCGAGCGUUGUCCGGAAUUACUGGGUGUAAAGGGUCCGCAGGCGGACAGAUAAGUUGAUGGUGAAAUUUCCCGGCUCAACCGGGAAUCUGCUGUCAAUACUAUUUGUCUUGAGUCCGAGAGAGGAUAGUGGAAUUCAUGGUGUAGCGGUGAAAUGCGUAGAGAUCAUGAAGAACACCGGUAGCGAAGGCGGCUAUCUGGCUCGGUACUGACGCUCAGGGACGAAAGCGUGGGUAG